AUUGAACGCUGGCGGCAGGCCUAACACAUGCAAGUCGAGCGGAGCGGCGGACGGGUGAGUAAUGCCUAGGAAUCUGCCUGGUAGUGGGGGAUAAGGUCCGGAAACGGGCGAUAAUACCGCAUACUAUCAGAUGAGCCUAGGUGGGAUUAGCUAGUUGGUGGGGUGAAGGCCUACCAAAGCGAAGAUCGGUAACUGGUCUGAGAGGAUGAUCAGUCACACUGGAACUGAGCCACGGUCCAGACACCUACUGGAGGCAGCGGUGGGGAAUAUUGGACAAAAGGCGAAAGCCUGAUCCAGCCAUGCCGCGUGUGUGAAGAAGGUCUUCGGAUUGUAAAGCACUUUAAGUUGGGAGGCGUUACCAACAGAAUAAGCACCGGCUAACUUCGUGCCAGCAGCCGCGGUAAUAC
rnacentral:rRNA from 1 species